GGAGGUGUAGCUCAGUGGUAGAGCAGUGCCCGUCUGUGGGAGGCUCUAGGUUUGAUCCCCAGCACCCCUU
rnacentral:tRNA from 1 species